UAGACUACAUCCAAUUUGCUGAGUAGUGUUGGAGGCUAUGUUAUAAAUGACAUCGCCGAAGUCAAGGAUCGGUAGGAUAGUCUUUUUUACGAGGGUAUGUUUGGCAGCAUGAGUGAAGGAAUGCCAUUGCGAAAUAGGAAGCCGAUUCUAGAUUUAAUUUUGGAUUGGAGUUGCUUAAUGUGAGUCUGGAAGGAAAGUUUACAGUCUAACCAGACACCUAGGUAUUUGUAGUUGUCCACAUAUUCUAAGUCAGAACCAUCCAGGGUAGUGAUGCUGGACAGGCGGGCUGGUGCGGGCAGCGAUCGGUUGAAGAGCAUGCAUUUAGUUUUGCUUGCAUUUCAGAGCAGUUGGAGACCACGGAAGGAGAGUUGUAUGGCAUUGAAGCUCAUCUGGAGGUUUGUUAGCACGGUGUCCAAAGAAGGGCCAGAUGUAUACAGAAUGGUGUCGUCUGCGUAGAGGUGGAUCAGGGAAUCACCAGCAGCAUAAAUAAUAACUCAAUCUGGUAACUACUCUACUCUAUGGGAACUUGACUCGCUCUCAGUAAGAUGAGGAAGGUCAGUAACACUUUCUAUGAGGCAAAUAUACAAAUAAGGCAUUAUAGUGCAUUAUAAAACUUGCAUAAGCUGUCAUAACAACUCAUAAGUAGUUAUAACAUCAUAAUUUAGGAUCUUACUUAGGCCUACUCAAAACAAAUAACAACCAUUCAAAGUCGGCAUUGAGAGAGGUAAGAGGAAAGUAUUUUGUCAGGAUAUAAUCAUAUAACAUGCCAUGUGUCAUGUAACAGUGUGGACACUAGGUGUAAUGUAACAGUGUGGAUGCUAGGUGUAAUGUAACAGUGUGGACACUAGGUGUCAUGUAACAGUGUGGACACUAGGUGUAAUGUAACAGUGUGGACACCAGGUGUAAUGUAACAGUGUGGACACUAAGUGUAAUGUAACAGUGUGGAUGCCAGGUGUAAUGUAACAGUGUGGACACUAGGUGUAAUGUAACAGUGUGGACACUAGGUGUAAUGUAACAGUGUGGACACUAGGUGUAAUGUAACAGUGUGGAUGCCAGGUGUAAUGUAACAGUGUGGACGCCAGGUGUAAUGUAACAUUGUGGAUGCCAGGUGUAAUGUAAGUGUGGAUGCCAGGUGUAAUGUAACAUUGUGGAUGCCAGGUGUAAUGUAAGUGUGGAUGCCAGGUGUAAUGUAACAGUGUGGACGCUAGGUGUAGCAAUUGUCUCCCAUAUGGAAAUAACUCUGAACCAUGCCAAUGUUCUGCCAACCAUGUCUUGUCAAUAUCUCCUAGUUGUCUUAUGUGGGAUUUUCUUCAUCACUUUAGGGGACCUCUAUCUAACCACAGAGUUACCGCCCAGGGGUUCAUCGUUUGUUUUAUUCCUCUGCUAACAAGCAGGAUGUACACAUGGAAGGAGAAUAACUUUCACCCUAAUUGAUGUCACUAAUAAUAUCACACUCCAAAACAUGUAUGCUAACGAAAGCAAUGAAACGCUUCCUGGACAUGUCACGGUGGAAUACCUAAUCACUCACUCUAAACACUCCGAAUUACCAUCAGGAAUGACCAUCUGAAACAUAACUGAUCAAUUCAUCCAUAAUCAUGUGAUAAUCCAUAAACGUGCACCAUAUGGAUGACCCCUUUAACCAGACAGUUAUGUUUGAAAAACAUCUGUUUCAGGAAUGCCAGCUCAUCAAAAUAUGCAUGUUCAGCACAUCAUUCAUGACAUCAUCUGGAUGAUUACAUCUACAUAUAUCUUCAUUCUAAAGGACACAUAUCGAAACAAAUUGAAGUCUCUCCAUUUUAUGAUUACCUUCACACAAUCAUACACACAUUCUGUGUUUCACUUCUCAUCUGACAUAAUCUCUAUGCUCACUCUGAUCAGCACUGUGUAAUCUGUGUAAUCCAUCUCUGUUUAACUCACAUGCCUCCUCCUUCAUGCAGUACCCUGUGUGUGUCUGUAGGGGGUGCUGGCUCUGGUCCUGGUAGUGCUCUGCCUUAUGGGGGCCAGCCUGUGGUCCCUGCUGGGCUGUGGCCUGAUGGUGGGAAGUUGGGCGAGUACGGCCCAGAGCCCUAUGGGUUUGCAUAGCCUAUGGGGCUGGGGCAUGAUACUGGCCUGGGUAAAUACACUCUAAAGAGAGGGGAGGGUGAACAAAGGAAGAACAAGAGAAAAUAGAGGCAGAAAAAGGACUGAAAAAACUGAGUGGUCAGGAAAAAUAAAGAGGUAGAGAAAGGGUGAAAAGUAGAGAUGGAGAGAAGAGAAAGAUUAGACAAAGAAAAAAGCAAGUCCGUGAUGAACACUGAAGCAGCAACAGAGGGACUCAAAGGUCA
ensembl:lncRNA